UCGGUCAAGUGAUGGGAUGCACCUCGGG
rnacentral:piRNA from 1 species